rnacentral:lncRNA from 1 species
UUCUCAUAAAAGAGAAUGAUGGACAACUCCCAACAUAUAACCAUUUUAUGCUAGGUUGACGAAACCAACAUUCAUAGACUAUUCUUUAGAAUGUUACACAACAUAGAAUUUCAACGUUUUGAAGAGCUUGAGUCCUUUAACAAUUAAAAUUACAAACUCAUAAUAAUAGUGAUGUACUAUUUUCUUUAGACAACUACAAACCAAUCAUAUUCAAGUUUAUAUCCUUUUUCUCACCUCCCACUAUUUCUCAUGACUUUAAUGAGAAACUACAUUAUACAUUCAAAAUGUAUAAACGUGGAGUAUACGAGUAGAGGACAAUGUGGAGUAGCUUUAAAACCUUUCAAGCUUAUUUGUUUCAAUCUCCACUAAGUUGAUGUCUUGUUAUUAAGUGACUAAAGUCUUUAAACAUUUCAUAGAUUUAGACACUUCGUUCUUGGUUUAAUCACUAACACACUUGACAUUUUAAAACAAUUUUAAGAAUGCCCAAUUAGUUGUUCAAAACUACUAAUUGAAUCAAGAGUGAUCUUGGUUAUUGUGGUUAAGUAAGUGAUAACCAUAUAAGAAACGUUUUCUUAUUACUUAUAUCGUUAUAAUGUGAUCUUCCUUUUCUUCAAGAAAGGAAUCUCUAGACCUUUUUCAAUUCAUAUAGAACUCACAUGUAGGCAAUUGGAACCAAAUCUAAAGAUUCAUUGUAUCCAUCUAUGGCCAACACGUGAGAUCUAUCCAUAAUUGAUAAGUCCAAAGUUUGGAUAUCGCAUUACAUAAGUGAUAUAAAUCUUGUAUCUCAACUAGGAUACAACAAGACAAUAUUCAAUUCAUAACACUACUUUGAGGAAAUAAUAUAGUAGAAGGCAUUCAUCACAUUACAUUGAUAUGAUAAUUCAAACAUUCAUAAUGUUCAAUACAAAAGGAAUUAGCUCUAUACAUUUAGAGACUAAUUAUAUACCUUCAUAUAGGCACCAAUAGUGGUCUUCCAUCAUAUGAAGCCACAUAAUAAGUUCUUAACAAAAUAAGAAAGUUUAAAGACUAUCUUUAAGUGCCUAACAAACUUCCUAAGUAGUUAGCAAAAAAUGGUGGCCGAACCCUUCUCCAUCCUUUUCCUUGCUUGUUCAUCUUCUACUUGGCUC